ACCCUAGUUGAACUGGUAUUUUGAAAGGGAUAGAAUAUAGCAAUUCCUAGUUGCACUUGAAUAUUGAGAUAAACUGGGGACAAGAUGCCCUGGAUGAAACCAUUUAUCUUUCCCCUUUUAAAUUAGCUGAAAUAUUGGUAAAUUGAAAGGGUAUUUGUAAAUUGUAGGUACUUAAAUCAGUUCUAGUGCUUACAAUAUAUGAUAUAAUUUGUUAAUACUUAAUGACUGGCUCCUUUUUUGUUUCUUCUAUUUAUAUAUAGUUUCGAAGAAUCAUUAA
rnacentral:lncRNA from 1 species